CAUGAAUGUUUGUCUCUAAUAUUUAAUUAACUGUGCAUUUGUAUUCAGAUAUCGCAGAUCAAAUUUAUUCUUUCAUUGUUUAAUCAUACGUUUUUUGAUUGAGUUAAGUCUGCCAAUUGAUAUUUUAUCGUAUGUUUUUCUUUGUUGAUGUUAUGCUAUUGUUUCAGAAAAAAGGGAGAAGGUUUGGAUCCAUUAAAACGUUUAAUCCCGCUGCAAAUGUUUGCACCUGUCCUAAGUCAGGAAUCUGAUGUACAGUAGUUGUCGUUUGUUUAUGUAAUAUAUACGUGUUUCUCGUUUCUCGUUUUGUUUAUAUAGAUUAGACCGUUGGUUUUCCCGUUUGAAUGGUUUUACACUAGUAAUUUU
rnacentral:lncRNA from 1 species